rnacentral:rRNA from 1 species
CGGGCCUUGAGACCGGCGCACGGGUGCGUAACGCGUAUGCAAUCUGCCUUCCACAGAGGGAUAGCCCAGAGAAAUUUGGAUUAAUACCUCAUAGCAUCAUGACCCGGCAUCGGGAUAUGAUUAAAGUCACAACGGUGGAAGAUGAGCAUGCGUCCCAUUAGCUAGUUGGUAAGGUAACGGCUUACCAAGGCUACGAUGGGUAGGGGUCCUGAGAGGGAGAUCCCCCACACUGGUACUGAGACACGGACCAGACUCCUACGGGAGGCAGCAGUGAGGAAUAUUGGUCAAUGGGCGCAAGCCUGAACCAGCCAUGCCGCGUGCAGGAUGACGGUCCUAUGGAUUGUAAACUGCUUUUGUACGGGAAGAAACCCUCCUACGUGUAGGAGCUUGACGGUACCGUAAGAAUAAGGAUCGGCUAACUCCGUGCCAGCAGCCGCGGUAAUACGGAGGAUCCAAGCGUUAUCCGGAAUCAUUGGGUUUAAAGGGUCUGUAGGCGGUCUUGUAAGUCAGUGGUGAAAGCCCAUCGCUCAACGGUGGAACGGCCAUUGAUACUGCUGGACUUGAAUUAUUGGGAAGCAACUAGAAUAUGUAGUGUAGCGGUGAAAUGCUUAGAGAUUACAUGGAAUACCACUUGCGAAGGCAGGUUGCUACCAAUGGAUUGACGCUGAUGGACGAAAGCGUGGGUAGCGAACAGGAUUAGAUACCCUGGUAGUCCACGCCGUAAACGAUGGAUACUAGCUGUUGGGCGCAAGUUCAGUGGCUAAGCGAAAGUGAUAAGUAUCCCACCUGGGGAGUACGAACGCAAGUUUGAAACUCAAAGGAAUUGACGGGGGCCCGCACAAGCGGUGGAGCAUGUGGUUUAAUUCGAUGAUACGCGAGGAACCUUACCAAGGCUUAAAUGCAGACUGACCGGUUUGGAAACAGACCUUUCGCAAGACGGUCUACAAGGUGCUGCAUGGUUGUCGUCAGCUCGUGCCGUGAGGUGUCAGGUUAAGUCCUAUAACGAGCGCAACCCCUGUUGUUAGUUGCCAGCGAGUCAUGUCGGGAACUCUAGCAAGACUGCCAGUGCAAACUGUGAGGAAGGUGGGGAUGACGUCAAAUCAUCACGGCCCUUACGCCUUGGGCUACACACGUGCUACAAUGGCCGGUACAGAGAGCAGCCACCCCGCGAGGGGGAGCGAAUCUAUAAAGCCGGUCACAGUUCGGAUCGGAGUCUGCAACUCGACUCC